rnacentral:lncRNA from 1 species
AAUACUAGGACUAGGAGGGUAAAGACUAGCACACACUUCUUAAUACAUGUGAAAUUAGAACCACACUCUCAGAAUCAUUGGGUAGUCCAGUAGGAAAACACCAAAUCCUCAGCUGUGAUACAUUAGUUAACAGUGCCUGUGCUGGCCACCAUCACAAUAUGAGUGAUAUGGGGAGAGAUUACCAUCUGUUCUUUCAGACUCUGGCUGCUGAUGGCCAACAGCAUGAUCUAGGACUAAAUGGUUAUCCUCACAUCACAGUGGCAGUGCUGUAGCGUAUUUAUAUUUUAACAUUGUAAAGCAUAAAUUAUGUUUUUUAACCUUUAAUUGUUCAUUUUUUUGUGGAGGUGGAGGAAAUCCGGGGCUGCCUGCUAAUCAGCAGAACACCAGUCAGAAACAGAAUGUGGCAGGACCUGGGGACUCAGUAUCAAUACCACUUCAGUCUGAUGAUUCUGCAACCCAGCCUAGUGAUGUAACUUACGCACAAGUUACGACUACUAUAAAGAAGCCCAGAGGAAAUGGUAAGCAAUUGUAUUCCUGCUGUGAUACAAAUCUGGUUUUCAUAUAACUGACCUCAGUCUCACUAUAAUAUAUUUCUGUGUUGGAUGCAGUAGCAAGUUCACAUGAUG